UGAAAGUGCGUGAGAAAUCUUGACUCAUUAGAUGCUCUGGUUAUAGUGAUGUUGGGAAAAUAAUUUCCAAAUGAACUGGAUGAAAUCCUUAACUCUGACCAUAAAAAAGUCAAGGGGUUAUUGACAAGAAACAGACCUGUAAAUUGCCUGUUGCUUUGUGUGUGUGAUAUUUGAUGGUGUGUGUUGUAGGCUGUACAUUAUAAAUGCAGUCUCUGAUACAUAGAGAGAUCAACGGUUCAGUCAGAAGCAUGCUGUCUGCAGUCACUGUUACGCAGAGAGAUCAACGGUUCAGUCAGAAGCAUGCUGUCUUGGUCAUGUUUUGUUAUUCUAUUGUUUUCAGAAAAAAAAACACUUUAGUGCUAUCUCAUGUCCUUAUGUGUGUUUUUAUUUUGCAGAUGCUCUAUUACAGUAGAAAGUUUACAUCUAUUUUUGCCAAGCAAAAUCAUUUAAUUUGAAUCAAAAGUUGAUUUUUUUGUCAUAGGAAAUCCAGGUGCUUUGUGGCCUGUUGUAUUUGAUCUCUGAUCUGCCAAGAACCAAUAGUCAGACAGCACAGACAUUGGUUGUAGAACUUGUAAAACAUUCCAGUUAUUUUACAGUUUAGUGCCCUUUUUAGGUGGAAUUAUUUUAAUUUGUAUCCCAUCUUCAUCUUGUAUUCAGAUCAGCUAUAUGUGUGAUAUGCAUGAACUCUUGUUUAUUAUGUUGAAACAAACUGCUGAACUCCAUAGAGAUAUAGGAUCACAGUUCACAGGACACAGGCAUUGCUCACAUCAACACAAAAUGGUGACAAGACCACACAAAAACUGACCACAUUGUCAUAAACAGCAACCAUACUAUCUUACACACAGAAAAAAUACUUCAUCACAAAAAUAUAGGCUCAUCAUAAUGCACACAAAUUGUGGUUAUAUCAACUAAGAAUCUACACAUAAGGUAUAUAUUGUUAAAUAAACAGAGUUUGGUCCCAAAACAAGGGUGAACUCUAAACACGCACAUCCCUACCAAUAUCAUGACACCCGCAGAUAUUACCACUCACGUCACCGAACUUUACAUGAUGCCAUAUGUCACACUUCUUUCACCAUAUGUCACUACACACACAUUGUGAAGUUGAUCCUGUCAUAGUGUGUCCUAAUUUGAUGCUUGAUCAGUGUUUUACAUGUACUCUAUGCAUAUAUAAAUGUACCAACCCUGAAUGGACACAAAAUCACCGGUGAUUAUACCACAAGUGGUGAGAGGAAUUCAAAAACAACUCACAAUUCUAGUCAAACUACUCACUGAUAACAAGGAAACAUUCUACCUAGAUAUAUGUACUUUCAGUUGUAAAAAAUUUAGAAAACAUUUCUUGAAUGCAUGAAAAAAGUUUUCUCUGUUUAGUCAAUGGCGGUGUGCAAUUCUUGUUACUUUCUGUUUUGUGAAUGGUAUUACUAAUCGUGUUCAUCGAGUUGAGUUCAGUCCCAUUUGUUUUUAUUUUAUUUGAUAGUCAUUUGGAGAGAGAGAGAGAGAGAGAGAGAGAUUAAAAUGUCACAAAUUUUUACUGUCUUUUUUAUUACCUUUUUGAAGAACAAAAGAUAUGUCCAUAUUCAUGUAUGUAGGCGUAUUUAAAUGACUGAUCUAUUUAAUUAACUAUGUUUCAUUUUCACUUGUCUAGAAUGUUUGAGAUCACAAAAUCAAAUGAUAUAUAAACAAGAUUGAGAAGAAAUAAAAUCUUGUCUAAAG
rnacentral:misc_RNA from 1 species